rnacentral:misc_RNA from 1 species
AGAGACGAGAGUCCUGGACUCCCCAACCCCACGAACCUACCACGACCACUGCCUCGGCGGGCGGCCCCAGGGGGGGAGGCCACCGCCCGCCGGCGGCACCCACGGACCCUGCAGCGACAUGUCUCCUUCCGAGUAAACCACGCCCCGAGAGGGCGGACCAGUCA